rnacentral:rRNA from 1 species
UAGCAUAUCAAUAAGCGGAGGAAAAGAAACCAACAGGGAUUGCCUUAGUAACUGCGAGUGAAGCGGCAAAAGCUCAAAUUUGAAAUCUGGCGCCUUUGGCGUCCGAGUUGUAAUUUGGAGGGGCAUCUUCGGAGGUGGCGCCGUCCUAAGUUCCUUGGAACAGGACGUCAUAGAGGGUGAGAAUCCCGUGCCUGGGUGGCUGUCCAUCUCCAUGUGAAGUGUCUCCGACGAGUCGAGUUGUUUGGGAAUGCAGCUCAAAAUGGGAGGUAAAUUUCUUCUAAAGCUAAAUAUUGGCGAGAGACCGAUAGCGCACAAGUAGAGUGAUCGAAAGAUGAAAAGCACUUUGAAAAGAGAGUUAAAAAGUACGUGAAAUUGUUGAAAGGGAAGCGCUUGAGAUCAGACUCAAUCUUUGGUGAUCACCCCGGCUUCUGUCGGGUGCACUUGCCAUCGAUUGGGCCAGCAUCGGUUCUUGCGGCGGGAUAAAAGGCAGGGGAAUGUGGCUCCCGAAUUGGGAGUGUUAUAGCCCCAGUCACAAUGCCGCCUGCGGGGACCGAGGACCGCGCUUCGGCUAGGAUGCUGGCGUAAUGGUCUUAAGCGGCCCGUCUUGAAACACGGACCAAGGAGUCUAACAUCUAUGCGAGUGUUCGGGUGGAAAACCCUUGCGCGUAAUGAAAGUGAACGGAGGUGGGAACCCCUCGGGGUGCACCAUCGACCGAUCCUGAUGUCUUCGGAAGGAUUUGAGUAAGAGCAUAGCUGUUGGGACCCGAAAGAUGGUGAACUAUGCCUGAAUAGGGUGAAGCCAGAGGAAACUCUGGUGGAGGCUCGCAGCGGUUCUGACGUGCAAAUCGAUCGUCAAAUUUGGGUAUAGGGGCGAAAGACUAAUCGAACCAUCUAGUAGCUGGUUCCUGCCGAAGU